rnacentral:lncRNA from 1 species
CCGGGCUGGUCUCCAGCUCCUAACCGUGAGUGAUCCGCCAGCCUCGGCCUCCCGAGGUGCCGGGAUUGCAGACGGAGUCUCGUUCACUCAGUGCUCAGUGGUGCCCAGGCUGGAGUGCAGUGGCGUGAUCUCGGCUCGCUACAACCUCCACCUCCCAGCCGCCUGCCUUGGCCUCCCAAAGUACCGAGAUUGCAGCCUCUGCCCGG